CAGCAGUGAGGAAUAUUGGGCAAUGGAGGCAACUCUGACCCAGCCAUGCCGCGUGAGUGAGAAGGUUUUCGAAUUGUAAAGCUCUUUCAGGUGUGAAGAUGAUGACGGUAACACCAGAAGAAGCCCCGGCAAACUUCGUGCCAGCAGCCGCGGUAAUACGAAGGGGGCGAGCGUUGUUCGGAAUUACUGGGCGUAAAGGGUGUGUAGGCGGUUUAGUAAGAUAGUGGUGAAAUGCCGGAGCUCAACUUCGGAAUUGCCAUUAUGACUAUUAAGCUAGAAUGAUGUAGAGGAUAGCGGAAUACCCAGUGUAGAGGUGAAAUUCGUAGAUAUUGGGUAGAACACCAGAGGCGAAGGCGGCUAUCUGGGCAUUUAUUGACGCUGAGGCACGAAAGCAUGGGGAUCAAACAGGAUUAGA
rnacentral:rRNA from 1 species